rnacentral:rRNA from 1 species
UAACUUUUCUCUCCGCAUGGAGAGAGAUUGAAAGAUGGCUUCGGCUAUCACUUACAGAUGGACCCGCGGCGCAUUAGCUAGUUGGUGAGGUAACGGCUCACCAAGGCAACGAUGCGUAGCCGACCUGAGAGGGUGAUCGGCCACAUUGGGACUGAGACACGGCCCAAACUCCUACGGGAGGCAGCAGUAGGGAAUCUUCCGAAAUGGACGAAAGUCUGACGGAGCAACGCCGCGUGAGUGAAGAAGGUCUUCGGAUCGUAAAACUCUGUUGUUAGGGAAGAACAAGUAUCGUUCGAAUAGGGCGGUACCUUGACGGUACCUAACCAGAAAGCCACGGCUAACUACGUGCCAGCAGCCGCGGUAAUACGUAGGUGGCAAGCGUUGUCCGGAAUUAUUGGGCGUAAAGCGCGCGCAGGCGGUCUUUUAAGUCUGAUGUGAAAGCCCACGGCUCAACCGUGGAGGGUCAUUGGAAACUGGAAGACUUGAGUGCAGAAGAGGAGAGUGGAAUUCCACGUGUAGCGGUGAAAUGCGUAGAGAUGUGGAGGAACACCAGUGGCGAAGGCGACUCUCUGGUCUGUAACUGACGCUGAGGC